rnacentral:lncRNA from 1 species
UCCCAUCAUCGCAGCAAUGUUGUAUUAGACACUAUAUUCACAUUCAUGUGUUAUUAAUAACUACGUUUCCUGCCUGAGAAUCAUCCAUCUGCACCAAUUAUUUCUGUGUCCAUGUUCUUUUGCAAUAUUCACAUUUGGACGCAGUCAUUGCACUGUUGUCUGGCUAAUACUCGGGCUCAGAAAAACACUGGAUUCAAAAGAACAACUCGGAGACACAGUUUAAAAGUUCAAACAAUUUACCAGUGCCACAAUGUGACAUUAUGAGUAAAAUCAUUCAACAUAUGGAAAUAUUAUCAGGAAAAUAAGCUUUGGCCUAAGUAUUAGAAGUAAAGGAACUCGCUGUAGCCCCUUGUGAGUAGUGUAGUUUACACUGACUGAGCAUUUUAUUAGGAACACCACAUUAAUACUAAGCAGAGCCUCAAUUUGCUCUCAAAACAAAACAUUUUUAAAAGGAUAAUUGUAUAAUAAGCAGGUGAAUAGCUGCUAUAAUAAAACUUUGAUUUAAAAGUCUGAUAAAGGAUGGCGGAUGCAAAUUAGCUCCAGCUACAAACCAAACACAAAGUCAUUCCACUUGUUGUGCUACCUAUCGGAACAUUUAUCUGCGUUUGUUAGAUUAAAAAAAACCAAACAAACGGAUUCAUUAAUAUAUGAAUGUCUAAGCAAAUAUCACACAUACACAUCGACCAUCUUCUGUUUUAGUAAUCGCUGUACAGGCCAAGGUGCCAGGGGCUGAGUUUGAAUUGAGGAGACGGGCGAGUGUAACCCCCGGAGGGAAACAGGUAAAGAGGGCUGGUUUGUCGUCUGUGGGAAGUGAGAAUGUUUCCAAUUCCAGAGCAGAACAGGUUCAACAGGCUGUGAUGUCACGUCUUUCACCGACCUGGUGCGUGUUUCCUACCGGGCUGGUGUCUUCCGCGCUCGUCCAAGCUGCAUCCUGUUUGACUGGAUGAUCUCCUGAUGGAACCCCCUCCCUAUGAAGAGGCCAUUCUGCACCCUCCUGCUCUGCGUUCAGAAGGACCUAUCACCUCCCCUCCCCCCACCUACUACGCCAGCCUCUCCUCCCCCUCGACGCCUCCUCCCACCUAUGGGGAAGCAGUCACGCUUCGUUCUGAUCCAAUUCCCGUCCCGCCUCCGACCGCUGUGACAACUUCCGUGACCUCACGUCCCCAAAACACCAGAAACAUAACCCAUCCACUCACGCAAGUCGGUCCGACGCAGGCUGUCAACGGCGGACGAACUCGGCCGACGGUGGUCGUGACCCAGCCAUCGGCCGUUCCCGUCACGGUGACGUACCUGAGGGACCUCCCUGGUUUGGUUCGCUGCCCGCACUGCCACCACACUGUCACCACCAAAGUCACGUACCUGCCUGGUGGUGCUGCCUGGUGUAUGUGUGUAAUGCUCGCACUGAUGGGGUUGGUGUGCGGUUUCUGUCUGAUCCCGCUCAUCGUCCGAGGACUACAAGACGCACAUCACUCCUGUCCACGGUGCGGAAAGCAUCUGCACGUGUUCACAAGAUGA